GGAGGGGCUAGCGUUGUUCGGAAUUACUGGGCGUAAAGAGUGCGUAGGCGGUUUAGUAAGUUGGAAGUGAAAGCCCGGGGCUUAACCUCGGAAUUGCUUUCAAAACUACUAAUCUAGAGUGUAGUAGGGGAUGAUGGAAUUCCUAGUGUAGAGGUGAAAUUCUUAGAUAUUAGGAGGAACACCGGUGGCGAAGGCGGUCAUCUGGGCUACAACUGACGCUGAUGCACGAAAGCGUGGGAGCAAACAGGAUUAGAUACCCCUGGUAGUCCACGCCGUAAACGAUGAGUGCUAGAUAUUGGGAGAGUUUUCUCUCGGUUUCGCAGCUAACGCAUUUAAGCACUCCGCCUGGGGAGUACGGUCGCAAGAUUA
rnacentral:rRNA from 1 species